rnacentral:rRNA from 1 species
UACGUAGGGUGCAAGCGUUGUCCGGAUUUAUUGGGCGUAAAGAGCUCGUAGGCGGUUUGUCGCGUCGGAUGUGAAAACCUAUGGCUUAACCAUGGGCCUGCAUUCGAUACGGGCAGACUAGAGUUCGGUAGGGGAGACUGGAAUUCCUGGUGUAGCGGUGAAACGCGCAGAUAUCAGGAGGAACACCGGUGGCGAAGGCGGGUCUCUGGGCCGAUACUGACGCUGAGGAGCGAAAGCGUGGGGAGCAAACAGG